UACGGAGGGUGCGAGCAUUAAUCGGAAUUAUUGGGCGUAAAGGGCGCGUAGGCGGAUAUAUAAGUCAGAUGUGAAAUUCCGAGACUCAAUUUCGGAGCUGCAUUUGAAACUAUAAAUCUCGAGGAUUGGCGGAGAGAACGGAAUUCCACGUGUAGCGGUGAAAUGCGUAGAUAUGUGGAAGAACACCGGUGGCGAAAGCGGUUCUCUAGCUUAUACCUGACGCUGAGGCGCGAGAGCAAGGGGAGCAAACAGG
rnacentral:rRNA from 1 species